AACAAAGAGACACUGAGGAUCCAGGAAACCAGAAUCCAAAUCCAGGAUAAAGAGGUUCAGUGAAUGUGGUGUUGAAGGUGUGGAGGUGGAUCAGUGAGUCAGAGGAGACUCUGUAGAAGGACAGAAUACCAGCAGGACAGUCCACAUACACUGCUACUCUGUUAGAGAUGGAGGAGGAGGAGGAGGAGGAGGAGGCGGAGGAGGAGGAAGAGGAGGAGGAGGAGGAGGA